CAAGUUCUAGCAAAUUCCCAGCUUGUGGCCCUGAGUCACAGAGGCACCAGCCCCAGAGCACCUGCACCCGAUGGUGACCAAGGUCCAUCUGUGGUCCCCCCACUCCCUGUUGGGGAGAAGCAUCAUCAAGCACCAGGGACACUGAGAUGUCAGCAGCCAUCAUGCGGGUCCUCAACAAAAAGUUCCAGGAUCUCUGAAGUGAGUGUUGUACUGUCCACAGGAUCUUUGAAGUGAGUGUUCUGCUUCCCACAGCCCUCCCCACACUCCUGACUGCUCAGCAAGCCAGGGCUGACCUGACUCUGCUCUGCCUCACAGGUUGGAGCCCACAUCCCUGAAGAAGAGGUCAGGAUACUACCCAUGGAUCUCUGGGGCUAUGGCCCUACUUCUUCCUUCUACUUAUUCUACAGCCAGAGCCACCUUUGUGGCCCUGCUUUUGCCCCAUCUGCUGCUGGUGACAGCUGUUGCAC
rnacentral:lncRNA from 1 species